UACGGAGGAUGCAAGCGUUAUCCGGAUUUAUUGGGUUUAAAGGGUGCGCAGGCGGAAUGGUAAGUCAGUGGUGAAAUCUCCCGGCUCAACCGGGAAACUGCCGUUGAUACUGCCGUUCUAGAGUACAGUUGAAGUGGGCGGAAUGUAGCAUGUAGCGGUGAAAUGCAUAGAGAUGCUACAGAACACCGAUAGCGAAGGCAGCUCACCAAGUUGUAACUGACGCUCAUGCACGAAAGCGUGGGGAUCAAACAGG
rnacentral:rRNA from 1 species